GACGAACGCUGGCGGCGUGCCUAAUACAUGCAAGUAGAACGCUGAAGAGAGGAGCUUACUCUUCUUGGAUGAGUUGCGAACGGGUGAGUAACGCGUAGGUAACCUGCCUUGUAGCGGGGGAUAACUAUUGGAAACGAUAGCUAAUACCGCAUAACAAUGGAUGACACAUGUCAUUUAUUUGAAAGGGGCAAUUGCUCCACUACAAGAUGGACCUGCGUUGUAUUAGCUAGUAGGUGAGGUAAUGGCUCACCUAGGCGACGAUACAUAGCCGACCUGAGAGGGUGAUCGGCGACACUGGGACUGAGACACGGCCCAGACUCCUACGGGAGGCAGCAGUAGGGAAUCUUCGGCAAUGGGGGCAACCCUGACCGAGCAACGCCGCGUGAGUGAAGAAGGGUUUCGGAUCGUAAAGCUCUGUUGUAAGUCAAGAACGGGUGUGAGAGUGGAAAGUUCACACUGUGACGGUAGCUUACCAGAAAGGGACGGCUAACUACGUG
rnacentral:rRNA from 1 species